AGAGUUUGAUCCUGGCUCAGGAUGAACGCUAGCUACAGGCUUAACACAUGCAAGUCGAGGGGCAUCAGGAAGAAAGCUUGCUUUCUUUGCUGGCGACCGGCGCACGGGUGAGUAACACGUAUCCAACCUGCCCUUUACUCGGGGAUAGCCUUUCGAAAGAAAGAUUAAUACCCGAUAGCAUAAUGAUUCCGCAUGGUUUCAUUAUUAAAGGAUUCCGGUAAAGGAUGGGGAUGCGUUCCAUUAGGUUGUUGGUGAGGUAACGGCUCACCAAGCCUUCGAUGGAUAGGGGUUCUGAGAGGAAGGUCCCCCACAUUGGAACUGAGACACGGUCCAAACUCCUACGGGAGGCAGCAGUGAGGAAUAUUGGUCAAUGGGCGCUAGCCUGAACCAGCCAAGUAGCGUGAAGGAUGAAGGCUCUAUGGGUCGUAAACUUCUUUUAUAUAAGAAUAAAGUGCAGUAUGUAUACUGUUUUGUAUGUAUUAUAUGAAUAAGGAUCGGCUAACUCCGUGCCAGCAGCCGCGGUAAUACGGAGGAUCCGAGCGUUAUCCGGAUUUAUUGGGUUUAAAGGGAGCGUAGGUGGACUGGUAAGUCAGUUGUGAAAGUUUGCGGCUCAACCGUAAAAUUGCAGUUGAUACUGUCAGUCUUGAGUACAGUAGAGGUGGGCGGAAUUCGUGGUGUAGCGGUGAAAUGCUUAGAUAUCACGAAGAACUCCGAUUGCGAAGGCAGCUCACUGGACUGCAACUGACACUGAUGCUCGAAAGUGUGGGUAUCAAACAGGAUUAGAUACCCUGGUAGUCCACACAGUAAACGAUGAAUACUCGCUGUUUGCGAUAUACAGUAAGCGGCCAAGCGAAAGCAUUAAGUAUUCCACCUGGGGAGUACGCCGGCAACGGUGAAACUCAAAGGAAUUGACGGGGGCCCGCACAAGCGGAGGAACAUGUGGUUUAAUUCGAUGAUACGCGAGGAACCUUACCCGGGCUUAAAUUGCAGUGGAAUGAUGUGGAAACAUGUCAGUGAGCAAUCACCGCUGUGAAGGUGCUGCAUGGUUGUCGUCAGCUCGUGCCGUGAGGUGUCGGCUUAAGUGCCAUAACGAGCGCAACCCUUAUCUUCAGUUACUAACAGGUCAUGCUGAGGACUCUGGAGAGACUGCCGUCGUAAGAUGUGAGGAAGGUGGGGAUGACGUCAAAUCAGCACGGCCCUUACGUCCGGGGCUACACACGUGUUACAAUGGGGGGUACAGAAGGCAGCUAGCGGGUGACCGUAUGCUAAUCCCAAAAGCCUCUCUCAGUUCGGAUCGAAGUCUGCAACCCGACUUCGUGAAGCUGGAUUCGCUAGUAAUCGCGCAUCAGCCAUGGCGCGGUGAAUACGUUCCCGGGCCUUGUACACACCGCCCGUCAAGCCAUGAAAGCCGGGGGUACCUGAAGUACGUAACCGCAAGGAGCGUCCUAGGGUAAAACUGGUAAUUGGGGCUAAGUCGUAACAAGGUAGCCGUACCGGAAGGUGCGGCUG
rnacentral:rRNA from 1 species